rnacentral:misc_RNA from 1 species
UAGUGAUUAAAUCGAGGCGUGUCUUCAUUGACCGCUCACCCUUCUCACCAUCGCAGCAUACACCUGUGGCACUGUUUAGGGCCUGAGCCGGUUUUCCGGUCCAGGUUAUCAUUUCAUAGCAAACUCUAGUCUUAUGAAUGUAAACGUUUUAAUAAGCAUAAUA